rnacentral:siRNA from 1 species
UAUGAGUUUGAAUGGUAACACAAU